UGCAGUACAGCUCAGUGGUUAAGACAUUGGAUGAUUGAUCUGAAGGUCUUGAGAUCAAAUCCCAGCACUGCCA